rnacentral:rRNA from 1 species
GAUGAACGCUGGCGGCGUGCCUAAUACAUGCAAGUCGAGCGAACGGACGAGAAGCUUGCUUUUCUGAUGUUAGCGGCGGACGGGUGAGUAACACGUGGAUAACCUACCUAUAAGACUGGGAUAACUUCGGGAAACCGGAGCUAAUACCGGAUAAUAUUUUGAACCGCAUGGUUCAAAAGUGAAAGACGGUCUUGCUGUCACUUAUAGAUGGAUCCGCGCUGGAUUAGCUAGUUGGUAAGGUAACGGCUUACCAAGGCAACGAUGCAUAGCCGACCUGAGAGGGUGAUCGGCCACACUGGAACUGAGACACGGUCCAGACUCCUAUGGGAGGCAGCAGUAGGGAAUCUUCCGCAAUGGGCGAAAGCCCGACGGAGCAACGCCGCGUGAGUGAUGAAGGUCUUCGGAUCGUAAAACUCUGUUAUUAGGGAAGAACAUAUGUGUAAGUAACUGUGCACAUCUUGACGGUACCUAAUCAGAAAGCAACGGCUAACUACGUG